rnacentral:rRNA from 1 species
UACGGAGGGGGCGAGCGUUAUUCGGAAUUAUUGGGCGUAAAGGGCGCGUAGGCGGCUGAACAAGUCAAAGGUGAAAUCCCUCGGCUCAACUGAGGAACUGCCUUUGAAACUGUUCGGCUUGAGGCCGGGAGGGGGUAGCGGAAUUCCCAGUGUAGCGGUGAAAUGCGUAGAUAUUGGGAGGAACACCAGUGGCGAAGGCGGCUACCUGGACCGGUUCUGACGCUGAGGCGCGAAAGCGCGGGGAGCAAGCAGG